rnacentral:rRNA from 1 species
UUGGAGGGCAAGUCUGGUGCCAGCAGCCGCGGUAAUUCCAGCUCCAAUAGCGUAUAUUAAAGUUGUUGCAGUUAAAAAGCUCGUAGUUGAAUUUUAGGCCCGGUUGGACGGUCUGCCUUUGGGUUUGUACUGUCCUGACUGGGCCUUACCUUCUGGUGAGCUGUCGUGUUGUUUACUCAGCGCGGCAGGGAACCAGGACUUUUACUUUGAAAAAAUUAGAGUGUUUAAAGCAGGCAUUCGCUUGAAUACAUUAGCAUGGAAUAAUAGAAUAGGACUUUGG